rnacentral:rRNA from 1 species
UUUUUUGAGAGUUUGAUCCUGGCUCAGGAUGAACGUUGGCGGCGUGCCUUAGGCAUGCAAAUCAAGGGGUCCCGAUAGCAAUAUCGUGGAUACCGGUGGACGGGUGAGUAACGCGUGGGAAUCUGCCUGGAAGUGGGGUAUAGCUCGGCGAAAGUCGGGGUAAUCCCCCAUGUGAUCGCAAGAUUAAAGCCGCAAGGCGCUUCUAGAUGAACCUGCGUCCUAUCAGCUAGUUGGUGGGGUAAUGGCCUACCAAGGCGACGACGGGUAGCUGGACUGAGAGGUCGGUCAGCCACAAUGGGACUGCGAUUUAAAGGUCGCCUAUACUGGUAACGGUAUAGCAAAAUUCAACUAAUAACGGUGAAAUCCGAACAGACUACUUGAUUUCGGGUAACCUUGGGUUACAUUAGAAAUAUGUACGUUUGGGACAAUACCGUGGGAAGUUUUAGAAGAGUUAAUUAAAUAAAAAUCUAUCAGAGUAUGCGAUUGCUGAUAGUGACUAGUAACAAAUUAGAGGUUUUAAUAAUUAUCGUAAAAAACACUUUUCUAAUAACCCCGUAACGACUGAUAUGGAAGGUACCAGAUAAUCUGGAAUUAAACUUCCAUUAUACGUUGACCCCUGUCAAAAACAGGGUGAAGAUAUAGUCUGAUACUCCGAGGAAUCGGAGAAAACACUAUGACGGCCCAUACACCUACGGGUGGCAGCAACCGGGAAUAUUCGACAAUGGACGAAAGUCUGAUCGAGCGACGCCGCGUGGAGGAUGAAGGCCCUCGGGUUGUAAACUCCUUUUAUUUGGGAAGAUUAUGACGGUACCAGAUGAAUAAGCACUUGCUAACUACGUGCCAGAAGCCUCGGUAAUGCGUAGAGUGCAAACGUUAUCCGGAUUUAUUGGGUGUAAAGAGUUGCGUAGGCCGAUCCGUGCAUUUUGUUUGAAAUGCCCUAACUUAAUUAGGGAUUUGGACAAAAUAUGGCGGAUCUUGAUGGUUGGAGAGGGUGCUGGAACCGAUGGUGUAGCAGUGAAAUGCGUUGAUAUCAUCGGGAACACCAAAGGCGUAGGCAGGCACCUAGCCAACUCAUGACGCUGAGGCACGAAAGCUGGGGGAGCGAAACAGAUUAGAGACCUGUGUAGUCCCAGCCGUAAACGAUCUCUGCUAGAUAGUGGCUUUUGUCACUGUCGCAGCUAACGCGUUAAGCAGAGCACCUGGGGAGUACGAGCGCAAGCUUAAAACUCAAAGGAAUUGACGGGGACCCGCACAAGCAGUGGAGCGUGUUGUUUAAUUCGAUACAAAACGAAAAACCUCACCAGGGUUUGACAUUCCGCCGUUCUAUUUCCUAGAAAUAGGAGAAAUCCGUAAGGAGGGCGGAACAGAUACUGCAUGGCUGUCGUCAGCUCGUGGCGUGAAGUCUGGGAAAAGACUUUUUCGCGCCCACCCCGAGUAAUCGGGGAUGGAAAAUUCGGCUCAUAUCGGUGAAACCAUUGAAUUUUGGGUUAUUUUUGGAUAAUGCUAAAAGCAUUGGUAAUACCGAAGGAAGUCGGGAAGUAUGCAUUACAAACUUCCUUGACCCUGUAACGACUGAUAUGGAAGGUACCAGAUAAUCUGGAAUUAAACUUCCAUUAUACGCCGAAUCCCGCAACGUAAAGUCGGCGGGAAUGGGAUAGUCUAUUAUCGUUCAAAACGAUAGGAGCUGUUAUCUUAAGUGAUGAAACGAGCGCAACCCUCACCGUAUGUUAAAUAUUCAUGCGGAACAGCCUCGCCUUAUGGCGAGGAGGAAGGCGAGGAUGACGUCAAGUCAGCAUGGUUCUUACACCCUGGGCUACAAACACACUACAAUGGCGAAGAACAACGAGUCGCAAGCUAGCAAUAGCAAGCUAAUCUCUGAAAUUUCGCCUCAGUUCAGAUUGGGGUCUGCAACCCGACCCCAUGAAGUCGGAAUUGCUAGUAAUCGCGGAUCAGCGUGCCGCGGUGAAUACGUUCUCGGGUCUUGUACACACCGCCCUAUAGUAUAAUAAAAUGUACUAUAGAAAAUCGCGCGUGGCAGUGUAAAUAACUAGUUGGUUAAAGUCCAACCUAUAAUUUAAAACAACUUAU